CACUACCCAGUCGACUUACACACUACUAUUUUGAAUUAGUGAUUCUUCUUUCUCUGUGAAUUAAGAUGAAUUUGAGAAUUAUUAACCAGAUUUCUGGUUAUUCACCAGCCACUUUGCUCCAGUUCAUCAGCACAAAGCACCAUAAACCCAGCAGGAUCUGGCCAAGAGAAUAUUCACCUCAAAUUGGCAUCUGCUACACUCCCCCCAUUCCCACUCACCACUGUGCAGGAUGUAGCUAAGUGAAAAGGUGGCAUGGCUGAAGCACUUAGCAGGCAAUUGAAAACUAGUAUAGAGUACAUAGCCCUGAGAACACUGCUUAAUUCUGAGCACUGGGUCUGCAGCGAGUUAGCAGUGAGACUGAGGAAACAUAACUGGAACCUUAGAGCAUCUUUACCCCUCUUUCCUGCACAAGUUGUAUCAAGUACAGUAUCUGAUCCACAGGAUCUGUCACACUUCUGGCUCUCCUGGGAACGAGUACACCUUGUGUAUAAAAACAAGUGGGCUAAAGUAUUUCUAAGAAGAAA